AUACUUACCUGGCAGGGGAGACACCAUGAUCACAAAGGUGGUUUUCCCAGGGCAAGACUCAUCCAUUGCACUCCAGAUGUGACCUCUAUGAUUUCCCCAAAUGUGAGAAACUUGACUGUAUAAUUUGUGAUUAUAAUUUUUUAAUUAAAAAAU
ensembl:snRNA U1 U1 spliceosomal RNA